rnacentral:rRNA from 1 species
ACGGAAGGCAGCAGUGGGGAAUAUUGCACAAUGGGGGAAACCCUGAUGCAGCAACGCCGCGUGAAGGAUGACGUAUUUCGGUAUGUAAACUUCUAUCAACAGGGACGAAAAUGACGGUACCUGUGAAGGAAGCUCCGGCUAACUACGUGCCAGCAGCCGCGGUAAUACGUAGGGAGCAAGCGUUAUCCGGAAUUACUGGGUGUAAAGGGAGUGUAGGCGGGACUGUAAGUCAGAUGUGAAAUAUGCCGGCUCAACUGGCAGACUGCAUUUGAAACUGCGGUUCUUGAGUGAAGUAGAGGUAAGCGGAAUUCCUAGUGUAGCGGUGAAAUGCGUAGAUAUUAGGAGGAACAUCAGUGGCGAAGGCGGCUUACUGGGCUUUAACUGACGCUGAGGCUCGAAGCGUGGGGAGCAAACAGGAUUAGAUACCCUGGUA